rnacentral:lncRNA from 1 species
AUCAUGGGGCUUUGUCACUCGUCCUCGCACACCACAGAGCCUGGAUAAUGGCAGAUUCCAUCGCCAGAAGGAGUUCAAAGGAAUCGACUGCCCCAUCAGAUUGGCAUUCAGCUGAGGCUGCCACCAGCUUAGCAAGUGGGAUCCUGUCCCACCUCUGAAUGACUAAGCAGGGACGUGGAGGAGUCAGCACUCUGCUGAAGUCAGGAGGUUGGCUUCAGGCGGCCCUGAGCUCUCGCAGCAGGAGAGGAAAGAGGAUUUUAACCAGCCAGCUCCUUCCUCCAUGCCUGGCCAAGAUGGAACCUGUGGGGGUGGUCAAGUUUUGGAGGGAGAGUAGUAGAAUCUCCUCUUUUUCUACCAUCUCUCCUGUGGCACAGACUGGUUGGACACCAUCACUCAGCAACUCCUUCCUCAACACCCAGGAGGACCGAGUUCACAGCACCCCCACAGUCAGGUUUCGGUCCUGCAGCUGGAAUCUUGACAAGAGGUCACCC